UCCUACUCCUGAUUGGAUGGUAAGGCAUAGAAUUUAUUUUAGCGCUGAUCGCCAGUAGUGCUAGAUGAAGCACCCUGAGCUGGGGCGGGAUGGGGUACAGGAGCUGGUGCACUAGUAGUCUGUGCCUAAGGUCAGACAUCUCUAUUCCCCUGCCUCGCAUGCGGGCAAUCGAUAAGUUUGUGGCCCAGCUUGCCAUAACCAAAACAACCCCUCUGAUCCGCUAAACACUCACCUGGAUAAUCUCUACCAUACUUAGCACAAAGAGGAUAGCGGGGUGUGUUACUUACAUUGUUCUGCGACCUAGACAUAGAAGACCUAUUCCCUUACUCCUGCCUACCUAUAGGCGUGGGAGCACUAGCUGAUGAAGGUGCUGGCAUAGAUGAACGGCUCUAGAACUGUGGGCGGUUCCCUCCAUGGGACCUAGACUGACCAUACUCAUGUUGCUCAGAUCUAGUCCUCUUGUUACCCCUCACUCUAUC
rnacentral:lncRNA from 1 species